GGCUCGGUAGCGCAGCGGUUCAGCGCACCUGUUAUACAUAGAAGAGUGACUUGGCUCGAACAGGAGACCCCAGUUCGACUCUGGGCGGAGUCU